CAAGAAGCUUGAAGCCAUAAAUCGAUAAUGUCCACUCCAACCAUGAUGGCACAACCUACUCCUCAACCUGUUCUCGUAUCAGCCCCAUUGUUAGUAACUUUGCAUUCUUUUGAGAAGGUUUUGGAUUUGGUUGGAGCUUGUGUUAUUGAUACGUCAGAUAUGGUUAGCAAUGUCUGCGACUUCCCAGCUCCCCUCCCCCAAAAAAAUAAAAGAUUUGAAUUAUAUAUCCCCUCGUUUUCGUAGAUUAGCGUGAAUAA